CUCUCUCUCUCUCUCUCUCACUCUUUUUAAGUAAUGUAUGACAAGUUGGAAGAGGAUACAUCUUGCUUGUUAAAGCGUAGAUCCAGUAAAAUGCUUGUGAGUGAUGUCUUGAAAAGAAAAGACAAAGAAAAAGUUUAAAAAAUGGAGUACUUUUUCUCUUCUUGAUUUAUUGGCAUAGCCAAAAACUUCCUAAUAUGUUUUGAUCAUGGGAUCCUGUAUAAGUGCCAGCCAUCUUUCAUAGCAUAUUAUUAACUUUAAUAUAUUAGGCUUUAUUCAGUUGAAUAACAUUUUGUGAUAUGUAAGAUCUCUUGUCAAAAGUCAAAUAGAUGUGUGUCAACCUAUCUAGUAUCUUAUAUCUACAGUGUUCAAACAAUUUUAUUUACCUAUUAAUUCUCUCUUUUUCUGUCACCUUUUUUUUUCCCCAUCAACUCAUGCGCUAAACCAACUAUAAGGGGAGAAAGGCUCUUUAUAGCUAACCUCAGCUAGGUUGGAAUUGGGCCUGACUUGAGUUUUGUUGACACUUGUAUAUUCAAAUCUUUGCAGAUUUUCAAUGAUAAACUGCCAA
rnacentral:misc_RNA from 1 species